UGGAAGCGAAGGACUGGCCGGCUGUCCCAGGGGAUGCCCAGGGUAUCUCUCCAAUGUCAGUUUUGUCAGGACAUGAGCGCAACGUGUACAACUGAAACCACUCAGGAGUCUCAGUCCAGUCAAGACGUCUGUGUUUCGACUGUCUCGGAAGUCACCAUGAUACCUGAUCCAAAAAAGCUGGUUUCCAAUGGGUUUUAAUGCCCCGGCUGCUUUUCCACCCAUUCGGAUCACUGUGACAGUAAAGGAAUGGACAGCUGCACACAGAAAGAAGACCACUGCUUCAACCUGGCUGGUUCCAUCAAAAGAAGCAUUUUGAAUGGAAGGAGUGCUUUCCAAGGUUGUACGACAGCCAAGGCAUGCAGCUUCAAAAAGGAAGCAGUAAAGGCAGCAAAUCAAGUUUUUGGAGUCUACAUUUCCCAGGUAGACUGCAAACCGGCAGAAAAAUUUACCCCCCCCCGCCCCGAGCAUCGUAGAAUGAAGAAAAUGAAGACAUCCAGAAUGAAGAACAUAGUCUAGUGCUUAAGACCAGACAGAUUUCGAUAAGAGGACUCGUUGCUCUUGGUGGCUGCAAUGAGCCACUAUGACUAGCAUUGCCAACUUUUUCAGCAGCCUCCACUCCUGUGUUUUCUCCAGUGGUCAUGCUGGCUGGGGAGGAUGUGAUUUGUUGUCAUAUGUGCCUGUAGGGGACCCAGGUAAAGGGAGCCAACUGCAGCAUCUCUGGACUUAAACUGUGAGCCCUUCCUGGAUCGUUCCACCUCCUCUGCAGAACAGGCAAGCAAGGAUAGAGAGCUUUGGAUUCUCUGCCACUUUAUUGUAGAAAAUCAGUGGAAGAGACUGAAAGGUCCUUCCUGCCAAGAAAACGAUGAAGGCUUGCCAUGGGUGUUGAUGGCACUUCGAAAUGUCAGCGAACUGCUUGGCCCCAAAAGCUUGGAAAGAGGAUCCCGUAGAAUAGAAGACAAAGCAGGAUCUCAGGAGAAGCCCCAGAAGCCCCUGGGGUCGAGGUGACAAGAAAUACACCUCUGCCAUUCCCAGUAAGAGUGGAACAAGAGGUCCAGGCUUCACACAAGCCUCUCAGUGCAGCCACAGAAAUGUUUGAAGCGUGCAAUCCUUUUCAACCCGGCUGGAUAGAUCUGUAGAUCUAUAAGGGUCCUAGCCAGGAUUCCAGAGAAGGGAGAGGCUAUAGAAGAAUCUUAGAACUGCAUAGCUGGAAGGGACUCUAUGGAUCAUCGGGUCCAGCCUCGGUCAACAAAUGCCAUCGGGAGGAUUUGAACUCACAACCUCUGAGGGCUCCACAGCCAGAGACCUCAACCACUGAACUCUCCACCCAUUACUUCUGUCAAUAAAGCAAUGCUUUGACAAUUUUCUCCUUCUCCAAUUCUCUUCUCCCAUCUUGUUCU